GACGAACGCUGGCGGCGUGCCUAACACAUGCAAGUCGAACGAGGUCCAUCCUUCGGGAGAAGACCUAGUGGCGAACGGGGUGAGUAACACGUGAAGAACCUGCCCCGAAGACCGGGAUAACCCUCCGAAAGGAGAGCUAAUACCGGAUACCCCCACCGAACCGCAUGGUUUGGUGAGGAAAUGGAUUCCGCUUCGGGAGGGCUUCGCGGCCUAUCAGCUAGUUGGUGGGGUAACGGCCCACCAAGGCAUCGACGGGUAGCUGGUCUGAGAGGACGAUCAGCCACACUGGGACUGAGACACGGCCCAGACUCCUACGGGAGGCAGCAGUGGGGAAUCUUGCGCAAUGGGCGAAAGCCUGACGCAGCAACGCCGCGUGGGGAUGAAGGCUCUCGGGUUGUAAACCCCUUUCAGCAGGGACGAAUCAAGACGGUACCUGCAGAAGAAGCCCCGGCUAACUACGUGCCAGCAGCCGCGG
rnacentral:rRNA from 1 species